AUUGAACGCUGGCGGCAGGCCUAACACAUGCAAGUCGAGCGGAUGAAGGGAGCUUGCUCCUGGAUUCAGCGGCGGACGGGUGAGUAAUGCCUAGGAAUCUGCCUGGUAGUGGGGGAUAACGUCCGGAAACGGGCGCUAAUACCGCAUACGUCCUGAGGGAGAAAGUGGGGGAUCUUCGGACCUCACGCUAUCAGUUGAGCCUAGGUCGGAUUAGCUAGUUGGUGGGGUAAAGGCCUACCAAGGCGACGAUCCGUAACUGGUCUGAGAGGAUGAUCAGUCACACGGGAACUGAGACACGGUCCAGACUCCUACGGGAGGCAGCAGUGGGGAAUAUUGGACAAUGGGCGAAAGCCUGAUCCAGCCAUGCCGCGUGUGUGAAGAAGGUCUUCGGAUUGUAAAGCACUUUAAGUUGGGAGGAAGUGCAGUAAGUUAAUACCUUGCUGUUUUGACGUUACCAACAGAAUAAGCACCGGCUAACUUCGUG
rnacentral:rRNA from 1 species